rnacentral:rRNA from 1 species
GAAGAGAAACCAACAGGGAUUGCCUYAGUAACGGCGAGUGAAGCGGCAAAAGCUCAAAUUUGAAAUCUGGCACCUUUGGUGUCCGAGUUGUAAUUUGGAGAGGCAACUUCCGGAGGGGCCCAGCCUAUGUUCCUUGGAAUAGGACGUCACAGAGGGUGAGAAUCCCGUAAUUGGCUGGAUGUACCCUCCAGUAUGUAGUGCCUUCUAUGAGUCGAGUUGUUUGGGAAUGCAGCUCAAAAUGGGUGGUAAAUUUCAUCUAAAGCUAAAUAUUGGUGAGAGACCGAUAGCGCACAAGUAGAGUGAUCGAAAGAUGAAAAGCACUUUGAAAAUAGAGUCAAACAGUACGUGAAAUUGUUGAAAGGGAAGCGCUUGAGACCAGACUCAGCCUCUGGCAAACAGCUGUCCUUCUGGGCGGUGCACUUGCCUGAGGCUGGGCCAGCAUCAGUUGGGAUGGUGGGAUAAAGACCAGGGGAAUGUGACUCCACUCAGGAGUGUUAUAGCCUCAGGUGCCAUAUCACCUAUCCUGACUGUGGACCGCGCUUUGGCUAGGAUGCUGGCGUAAUGGUCUUCA